UGAUAAAUAUGUAUAUAUGUGUAUGCAAGUGUUUGUAGGUAUGUACACAUGUAUGUACUGACAUACAUAGGACAGCUAUCAGAAUUGACCACAUUGAGGAACUAGAAGGAGAUCUAGAAGUGGAAGUCCAAAUUCUGUUGCUGGUAUGAGAAUGCUUCACAACAAAAUUGGGAUUCUUCACUACAUUCUUUGAUACUCACAGCCAAGAAGACAAAACUGCUAAGACCUCAAGAACAAACCUAGAUACAAACCGCAUUUUGGCCCAAUAUCAACUUGGUUCCUAAAAGAGAAGGAAUCACUCAAAUGCACUUGCUACACAACGCUUUGAUGGUAUAACCUAGGUUUAGAAUUGUCAAACAUUCUAGAAUGUAAAUGUAUAAAAAUAUGGAAGCUGGGGCUGGGGAUAUAGCCUAGUGGCAAGAGUGCCUGCCU